rnacentral:rRNA from 1 species
GACGAACGCUGGCGGCGUGCUUAACACAUGCAAGUCGAACGGAAAGGCCCUGCUUUUGUGGGGUGCUCGAGUGGCGAACGGGUGAGUAACACGUGAGUAACCUGCCCUUGACUUUGGGAUAACUUCAGGAAACUGGGGCUAAUACCGGAUAGGAGCUCCUGCUGCAUGGUGGGGGUUGGAAAGUUUCGGCGGUUGGGGAUGGACUCGCGGCUUAUCAGCUUGUUGGUGGGGUAGUGGCUUACCAAGGCUUUGACGGGUAGCCGGCCUGAGAGGGUGACCGGCCAAAUUGGGAAUGAGAUACGGCCCAGACUUCUAAGGGAGGCAGCAGUGGGGAAUAUUGCACAAUGGGCGGAAGCCUGAUGCAGCAACGCCGCGUGCGGGAUGACGGCCUUCGGGUUGUAAACCGCUUUCGCCUGUGACGAAGCGUGAGUGACGGUAAUGGGUAAAGAAGCACCGGCUAACUACGUG